UACGUAGGGGGCAAGCGUUGUCCGGAAUCAUUGGGCGUAAAGAGCGUGUAGGCGGCCAGAUAAGUCCGCUGUGAAAUCUCGAGGCUCAACUUCGAGCUGUCGGUGGAAACUGUCUGGCUAGAGUCCGGAAGAGGAGAGUGGAAUUCCUGGUGUAGCGGUGAAAUGCGCAGAUAUCAGGAGGAACACCGGUGGCGAAGGCGGUUCUCUGGGCAUGUCCUGACGCUGAGGAGCGAAAGUGUGGGGAGCGAACAGG
rnacentral:rRNA from 1 species